UCUUUAUCAAGAGUGGUGGAGGGAAAAGGCCCUGUGAAACCACAGCAACCGAUCCGCGUCCUGCGGAUGCCAGGUGCUAAUUCCUGCCCGAGAUCCAGGGGCAAGAUGAGGG
rnacentral:ncRNA from 1 species